AGAUUGAACGCUAGCGGGAUGCUUUACACAUGCAAGUCGAACGGCAGCGCGGACUUCGGUCUGGCGGCGAGUGGCGAACGGGUGAGUAAUAUAUCGGAACGUGCCCAGUAGCGGGGGAUAACUACGCGAAAGCGUGGCUAAUACCGCAUACGCCCUACGGGGGAAGGGGGGGAUCGCAAGACCUCUCACUAUUGGAGCGGCCGAUAUCAGAUUAGCUAGUUGGUGAGGUAAAGGCUCACCAAGGCGACGAUCUGUAGCUGGUUUGAGAGGACGACCAGCCACACUGGGACUGAGACACGGCCCAGACUCCUACGGGAGCAGCAGUGGGGAUUUGGACAAUGGGGGAAACCUGAUCC
rnacentral:rRNA from 1 species